rnacentral:rRNA from 1 species
GAUAGAACGCUAGCUACAGGCUUAACACAUGCAAGUCGAGGGGCAGCAGGAUCUAGCAAUAGAUUGCUGGCGACCGGCGCACGGGUGAGUAACACGUAUCCAACCUGCCGAUAACUCGGGGAUAGCCUUUCGAAAGAAAGAUUAAUACCCGAUGGUAUAAUCAGACCGCAUGGUCUUGUUAUUAAAGAAUUUCGAUAAUCGAUGGGGAUGCGUUCCAUUAGUUUGUUGGCGGGGUAACGGCCCACCAAGACAUCGAUGGAUAGGGGUUCUGAGAGGAAGGUCCCCCACAUUGGAACCGAGACACGGUCCAA